AGCGAACGUUAGCGGCGGGCCUAACACAUGCAAGUCGAACGAGAAUGUAGACUUCGGUCUACUAGUAAAGUGGCGGACGGGUGCGUAACACGUGGGUAAUCUACCUUCCGGCGGGGGACAACAGUCCGAAAGGAUUGCUAAUACCGCGUACGUCAGCGGCGCCUACGGGCGCUGUUGGGAAAGAUGGCCUCGUCCUUGGAAGCUAUCACCGGAAGAUGAGCCCGCGUCCCAUCAGCUAGNGGUGAGGUAACGCUCACCAAGGCAAAGACGGGUAGCUGGUCU
rnacentral:rRNA from 1 species